GGUGGCGUGGCCGAGAGGCGAGGCAGCGGCCUGCAAAGCCGUCCACACGGGUUCAAAUCCCGUCGUCACCUCCA
rnacentral:tRNA from 1 species